GAUGAACGCUAGCUACAGGCUUAACACAUGCAAGUCGAGGGGAAACGACAUCGAAAGCUUGCUUUUGAUGGGCGUCGACCGGCGCACGGGUGAGUAACGCGUAUCCAACCUGCCCACCACUUGGGGAUAACCUAGCGAAAGUAAGACUAAUACCCAAUGAUAUCUCUAGAAGACAUCUGAAAGAGAUUAAAGAUUUAUCGGUGAUGGAUGGGGAUGCGUCUGAUUAGCUUGUUGGCGGGGUAACGGCCCACCAAGGCAACGAUCAGUAGGGGUUCUGAGAGGAAGGUCCCCCACAUUGGAACUGAGACACGGUCCAAACUCCUACGGGAGGCAGCAGUGAGGAAUAUUGGUCAAUGGACGAGAGUCUGAACCAGCCAAGUAGCGUGCAGGAAGACGGCCCUAUGGGUUGUAAACUGCUUUUAUAAGGGAAUAAAGUGAGUCUCGUGAGACUUUUUGCAUGUACCUUAUGAAUAAGGACCGGCUAAUUCCGUG
rnacentral:rRNA from 1 species